CCUACGGGUGGCAGCAGUGAGGAAUAUUGGUCAAUGGACGAGAGUCUGAACCAGCCAAGUAGCGUGAAGGAUGACUGCCCUAUGGGUUGUAAACUUCUUUUAUAUGGGAAUAAAACGUUCCACGUGUGGGAUUUUGUAUGUACCAUAUGAAUAAGGAUCGGCUAAUUCCGUGCCAGCAGCCGCGGUAAUACGGAGGGUCCGAGCGUUAUCCGGAUUUAUUGGGUUUAAAGGGAGCGUAGGUCGCUUGUUAAGUGAGUUGUGAAAGUUUGCGGCUCAACCGUAGAAUUGCAGUUCAAACUGGGGGUCUUGAGUGCAGUAGAGGUGGGCGGAAUUCGUGGUGUAGCGGUGAAAUGCUUAGAUAUCAUGAAGAACUCCGAUUGCGAAGGCAGCUCACUGGACUGCUACUGACACUGAGGCUCGAAAGUGUGGGUAUCAAACAGGAUUAGAUACCCUGGUAGUC
rnacentral:rRNA from 1 species